GGCUCAACCUGGGAACUGCAUCUGAUACUGGCAAGCUUGAGUCUCGUAGAGGGGGGUAGAAUUCCAGGUGUAGCGGUGAAAUGCGUAGAGAUCUGGAGGAAUACCGGUGGCGAAGGCGGCCCCCUGGACGAAGACUGACGCUCAGGUGCGAAAGCGUGGGGAGCAAACAGGAUUAGAUACCCUGGUAGUCCACGCCGUAAACGAUGUCGACUUGGAGGUUGUGCCCUUGAGGCGUGGCUUCCGGAGCUAACGCGUUAAGUCGACCGCCUGGGGAGUACGGCCGCAAGUUUAAAACUCAAAUGAAUUGACGGGGGCCCGCACAAGCGGUGGAGCAUGUGGUUUAAUUCGAUGCAACGCGAAG
rnacentral:rRNA from 1 species